CCUUAACAUCUUUCUUCCUUGGGUCUUGCUCUCGCCACUCUCUCCCUCAGUCGUCACCGCCAGUUGGCCAACAUUCUUCACGGUCACCGUCUCACACCCAGUCGCACACCUUCUUUCCCAUCGUCGUCACCGCGGAAGAAGCAGCAGGUCCCGGGGUUGCUCUCUGUCUCGUCAUCCUCUCAUACUUAGAAGCGCGCCUUCCCUGUGCAAGUCGUCACCGGCAGCAGAGGUAGCAGGUCCCGGUGGGCGGGUCUUCGUUCGUCGUCUUACUUUGAGCCUCGCCGUCAGCUUCCUGCAGCGCAACCCGAUUUGGUUUGGCUGGUAGAUGGUGAUGAAUUGUCUCUUCGUUCAGUUGCAGAACAAGUGGGACUAAAUUUGAAUUCUAAAUGAAUACUCCAAAGUUUAGGUUUGAAUUCUAACCAUUUGAACAAGUGGGACUAAAUUUGGUGUAUUACUUAAUUUCUCAUUGCUGUUGCCGUCUACAAAAUAAAUUUUAGUAUCUUGCAAAUGGAUUUCCUGAAUGGCAUUCAGUUUUUCACUUUUUUAUGAUUAUUUCAUGGUUUAUGAUCGAUGCUUCUGAUCCGAGUGUUUAUAUAGUGAAUGUAUUGAAUUUAGUGCUAAAUUCCUGGUCUAUAUUUACAUUUUGAACUGAUCUUGUUAGGUAGAUUAGGAACCA